UACAGGGGGUGCAAACGUUGCUCGGAAUCAUUGGGCGUAAAGCGCACGUAGGCGGUUCGUUAUGUCGGAUGUGAAAGCCCUUGGCUUAACCGAGGAAGUGCAUCCGAAACUGGCGAGCUAGAGUACUAAAGAGGAUCGCGGAAUUCCCGGUGUAGAGGUGAAAUUCGUAGAUAUCAAGCGGAACACCAGUGGCGAAGGCGAGUCCCUGGACAACUCCUGACACUGAGGCACGAAAGCGUGGGGAGCAAACAGG
rnacentral:rRNA from 1 species